rnacentral:rRNA from 1 species
UACGUAGGGUGCAAGCGUUGUCCGGAAUUAUUGGGCGUAAAGAGCUUGUAGGCGGUUUGUCGCGUCUGCUGUGAAAUUUCGGGGCUCAACCCCGAACUUGCAGUGGGUACGGGCAGACUAGAGUGUGGUAGGGGAGACUGGAAUUCCUGGUGUAGCGGUGAAAUGCGCAGAUAUCAGGAGGAACACCAAUGGCGAAGGCGGUUCUCUGGGACGGUACUGACGCUGAGACGUGAAAGCGUGGGGAGCGAACAGG